AGCAGCCGCGGUAAUUCCAGCUCCAAUAGCGUAUAUUAAAGUUGUUGCAGUUAAAAAGCUCGUAGUUGAAUUUCGGGGUCAAUAAGUUGGUCAUGCCAAUGGUAUGCACUGGCUUUAUUGAUUCCUACCUCUUGACGAACUGUGAUGCCAUUAAUUUGGUGUUGCAAGGAAUCAGGACUGUUACCUUGAAAAAUUAGAGUGUUUAAAGCAAGCUUACGCUUGAAUACAUUAGCAUGGAAUAAUGAAAUAGGACGUUUGAUCCUAUUUUGUUGGUUUCUAGGAUCGACGUAAUGAUUAAUAGGGAUAGUUGGGGGCAUUAGUAUUCAAUUGUCAGAGGUGAAAUUCUUGGAUUUAUUGAAGACUAACUACUGCGAAAGCAUUUGCCAAGGAUGUUUUCAUUAAUCAAGAACGAAAGUUAGGGGAUCGAAGACGAUCAGAUACCGUCGUAGUCUUAACCAUAAACUAUGCCGACUAGGGAUCGGACGCAG
rnacentral:rRNA from 1 species